AACGAACGCUGGCGGCAGGCCUAACACAUGCAAGUCGAGCGCCCUUUCGGGGGCGCGGCGGACGGGUGAGUAACGCGUGGGAAUAUGCCCUUCUCUACGGAAUAGCCUCGGGAAACUGAGAGUAAUACCGUAUACGCCCUGUGGGGGAAAGAUUUAUCGGGGAAGGAUUAGCCCGCGUUGGAUUAGGUAGUUGGUGGGGUAAUGGCCUACCAAGCCGACGAUCCAUAGCUGGUUUGAGAGGAUGAUCAGCCACACUGGGACUGAGACACGGCCCAGACUCCUACGGGAGGUAGCAGUGGGGAAUCUUAGACAAUGGGGGCAACCCUGAUCGAGCCAUGCCGCGUGAGUGAUGAAGGCCUUAGGGUUGUAAAGCUCUUUCAGCUGGGAAGAUAAUGACGGUACCAGCAGAAGAAGCCCCGGCUAACUCCGUG
rnacentral:rRNA from 1 species